CACGUAGGGCGCAAGCGUUGUCCGGAAUUAUUGGGCGUAAAGGGCGCGUAGGCGGUUUGCUAAGUUGAAUGUGAAAACUCUGGGCUUAACCCAGAGCCUGCAUUCAAUACUGGCAGGCUAGAGUUCUGGAGGGGAUAGCGGAAUUCCUGGUGUAGCGGUGAAAUGCGUAGAUAUCAGGAGGAACACCGGUGGCGAAGGCGGCUAUCUGGACAGAGUCUGACGCUGAGGCGCGAAAGCUAGGGGAGCAAACAGG
rnacentral:rRNA from 1 species